CGCAUCGAAAGGCAAGACAGUUGAAAGACUGCUCACGCAAUGCUUCGGGUCUAAGGGUAAUCAGUUACCUAUGAUAGCCGGGCUGCCAUC
rnacentral:ncRNA from 1 species